CCCGGCAGUUUGGCGGCUCUGCGGGGCAGGCCAGGGGCCCUCAGCGGGUCUGGGGCCUCAGGCUGUGCAGGCCGCUGGCGGGGACUCUCUUUUCCCUGGCUCUCGCCCUGCUCCCUCGCUGGUAUUAGUGCCGUGCGGGCUCGGCUCAGGGCAGGGAUGGAUGGAGGAGAUGGGCCCUGUCCCCAGCAGCUCCGGGGAGCCAAGUUCGGCGAAGAAGAGCCAGAGCUGAUCGAGUGACCCAUCUAGGCCUGUUGCCUUUCUAAGAACAGUCCACGCAUCCCUUCGUGUGCUCGUCACGAGCGCUACAGGCCUCAGAGCAACAUGUCCAAACCCCGGGCACUGCGGUGGGCCCAGGCCCCUCAUGCCCAGUGUCCCCUCGGACGGAUGCGCCCGUCCGUUCGUCCGUUCCGCUGUGCAGGGACAUCUCGGCUGUUUCUGGGUUUUGACGACUGUGAAUAAAGCCUCCGUGAACCUGU